rnacentral:misc_RNA from 1 species
UGGAACCCCAUUCUCCAUUUUCUGCCUCAAACCAUGUCCUUGAAUGCACAGCGCCCUCGUGUUACAGUCAAUGGUAUCCGAAGAAUGAGAACAUUCCAUUACUUCUGGUGCCAAACUUGCCGACGAACCUCAAGGUUCUCAACCAUAAACUCAAAUGAAAACCUCUGUCCUCAUUGCUUUAGUGUGCUAAAUCAUGAGCUUGACAUAUCGAGGCCCAGGCUUGUCCCUGACCUCACCGAGCUCGAACCCUCUCCGGCUUCACGGUUGUUGGACUCGUUAGCACUAAUGCUUCAUCCUUCAAUAAGGAGGCAAUAUCCUGAAUUUGAUAGAAGAAUUCGUUGGGAAUCCGAAGGUGCCAAUGCACCUUGGAUUACACUUCAGUUUCUUGAACCUCCUCGCCCGGAAAGACUGCCCAUGACUUCGCCGCCGCCGGCUCAAAUGGUUGCUCCUGGCGGUGUUGCUCCUGCUGCUAAUAAUGGAAGAAAUGAGAACUUUGCUAAUGCAGGCUAUGCAGCUAACUUGUUUGCUCCGGAGAUGACUGAUAUUGACAGGCCUGGCCCUCCUCCAGCGUCAGCUUCAGCUAUUGAGACACUGCCGAUAGUGAAGAUUACACAAGAACAUUUGAUGAAGGACACGCAUUGUCCAGUGUGCAAGGACGAAUUUGAGGUUGCUGUGGAAGUGAGGGAGCUUCCCUGCAAGCAUUUGUACCAUUCUGAUUGUAUUGUUCCUUGGUUGAACAUGCACAAUUCUUGCCCAGUUUGCCGGCACCCUCUGUAUGAUGGUUUUGAAGAUCAUCUCCAGCAAGAAAAUGGUCAAUCUUUUGGGUUUGAAGAGGUGGUAAAUAGCAUGAAUUGGAUGAGGAACCAGUUCCUUUCUCUAUGGCCUGUACGUGCAUUUUCAGAUUGGACUCAGAGAUAUCUUGAUUUCUUGGAUAACAGGGUUGAAUCUUCCAGGGGAGCAAGUUCCUGGUGGCGUUCUUUCUUCGUUUUAUGACUCUGCAUCUCAAUCGCUCUUUAUGCUGGAAAAGCUGUAUAUAUUAUUGGCCUUACAAUUGAAUCAUUUCUUAAUUAGGCAGGUAUAUCUAACUUAUUCUAUAAUUUUCAAGAUUGCAAAGAUGAAAGGAUAUUGAAGCUUAACAGGUAUGCUUUCCAUUUACUUCUCUUGUGCGAUUGAUGUCCUUAAAAUACAUUAGCUUUAAGACUUAAUCCAACUGUUAUUUGUCACUUAGCAGGUGCUAAAAUGACUAAAUUGAAAAGGAAAAGAAAAUGUCCAGUAUUGGUUUCUGCAGCUUUCAGGAUUCUCUUCUCUGGAAUGUACAUAUAUAGAUGAAACGUGAUAAUAAUUAAUUAAUAAACAUUGGGGUUGUGAAGAAAAUGUAUACUGAUCCUCAACUAGUCCAUGAAAAUUUAGUAAUUUCUUGAGAACUUGGUACUUUGGAGUCAGUCCUACACAAGACAAAUUUAGUUCAAUACUAGCAUAGAACAAAACCAGAAGAUUGUUCCUCCACAAUCUAUUGUCUCAAGUCUACCAAACCUGAAACCCCAUUGCGACCACCUGAGCUAAGCCUAAAUGGUCUCAAAUGUUACGUAAAAUAUUUUCAUUCUGCAAUUAUUUUUUACAGAGCUCUUCAGGGAGAAGGAAGCAUUGAACUGUUCCAGAAGACUUCUGCAUGGAGAAGGAAGCAUUGUACUAUUAGAUUCUUGAUAUAAUGAAGGCUACUACAGAUUUCAGAAAUGCAUUCUGAUUUGGAGAGGAUGAUUUGAUUUAUAUUUAAAUACAAUUCUGCAGACAUUGUAACAAUCCAAGAAUUAUAAAUUCUAUGUUAUACAAUCCAUACAAUCCAAUAUUUGAUUAGAGGAAUACUAAAU